rnacentral:rRNA from 1 species
AGAACGAACGCUGGCGGCAUGCCUAAUACAUGCAAGUCGAACGAACACUUCGGUGUUAGUGGCGCACGGGUGCGUAACGCGUGGGAAUCUGCCCUUGGGUUCGGAAUAACAGUUGGAAACGACUGCUAAUACCGGAUGAUAUCGAAAGAUCAAAGAUUUAUCGCCCAGGGAUGAGCCCGCGUAGGAUUAGCUAGUUGGUGAGGUAAAGGCUCACCAAGGCGACGAUCCUUAGCUGGUCUGAGAGGAUGAUCAGCCACACUGGGACUGAGACACGGCCCAGACUCCGUACGGGAGGCAGCAGUAGGGAAUAGUUGGACAAUGGGACGCAAGCCUGAUCCAGCAAUGCCGACGUGAGUGAUGAAGGCCUUAGGGUACGUAAAGCUUCUUUACCCGAGUAUGAUAAUGAUAGUA